rnacentral:lncRNA from 1 species
CAGAGGUUAAACUCUAUUUAUCAACUUAAAGCCUUCAGCUGUUCUCCAAUUUAGAAAGAGGUGUUUGUAUGAGAGGGCAAAGUCUGAAGUUAUUGUUGGGUUGUUUUAGGCAAGCUUUCACAUUGAUUCUGGUGCAACAUAAGGUUAAGGCAGUGAAUUUUCUGAGACCUGAUACUGAGACACGGAAAGCUGUCUCUCCUGUUUCCCUCAUCUACACAAGCUGUGACUUAAAGAGCAGAAAAAGCAGUGAGCCUGUGCUUUCCAUGCUGCUGAGCCUAACUGGUCCCUUACCUCUUUUUCUGCAAUCGUGCCAUGUGUGUUUUCCCUUGAUGUUUCUAUGGAAGCUGUGCCUCCAGUUUGUUGCUGGUAUUUUUGGAAUUAUUUUGCUGACUGCUUCCUCUAGGAUGCUCGGAUAG